rnacentral:rRNA from 1 species
CAUAGACAGCCAGGAGGUUGGCUCAGAAGCAGCCACCCUUGAAAGAGUGCGUAACAGCUCACUGGUCUAGUGGUUCCGCGCCGACAAUGUAGCGGGGCUCAAGCACACCACCGAAGACGCGGCAGUAUUUUGUACUGGGUAGGAGAGCGUCCCAUGAGGGGCGAAGCGGCCGUGUGAACGCGCCGUGGACUUCAUGGGAGUGAGAAUGCAGACAUGAGUAGCGAGAGACGGGUGAAGAUCCCGUCCGCUGGAUGACCAAGGGUUCCAGGGCCACGUUCAUCGUCCCUGGGUGAGUCGGGUCCUAAGGCGAGGCCGACAGGCGUAGUCGAAUGGAUGAACGGGUCGAUAUUCCCGUACCGGCUUUCAGCCGCCAAAACCGAGGCUUGGAGUACUAACCUCCGGGUCCGGGCUUACUGCUCCUUCGGGGGCGGGAUGCCCUGGCCUGUUGGGACCGAUCCUUGUAGUAGGUCAGCGCAGGAGUGACGCAGAAGGGUAGCCGGCCGCGGAGGUGGUCUUCCGUGGUCAAGCACGCAGGGCGUGGGACAGGCAAAUCCGUCCCGCAUGGGUCCGAGGUGCGAUGAUGGGGGCCUUAUGGCCCGAUAUCCGGUGAUCCCGGCUGCCGAGAAAAGCUUCGGCGUCAGGCUCAAAGCCGCCCGUACCCCAAACCGACACUGGUGGUCAGGUAGAGAAUACCAAAGCGAUCGAGCGAAUCCUGGUCAAGGAACUCGGCAAAUCACUCCCGUUCCUUCGGUUUAAGGGAGACCCCCGAUGGUGAACACACUUGCUGUGGGAGCUUUUGGGGGUGGCACAGACCAGGGGGUAGCGACUGUUUACCAAAAACACAGGUGCAUGCGAAGGCGCAAGCCGCUGUAUAUGCACUGACGCCUGCCCGGUGCCGGAAGGUUAAGAGGAUCCGUCAGCCUUCGGGUGAAGCGGUGAAUUCAAGCCCCGGUAAACGGCGGUGGUAACUAUAACCAUCCUAAGGUAGCGAAAUUCCUUGUCGGGUAAGUUCCGACCUGCACGAAUGGCGUAACGACUUCCCCACUGUCUCGACCAGGAGCUCGGCGAAAUUGCAGUACGAGUAAAGAUGCUCGUUAAGCGCAGAAGGACGAAAAGACCCCGGGACCUUUACUAUACCUUGGUAUUGGCAUUCGGUGUGGAUUGUGUAGCAUAGGCGGGAGGCCGAGAGGCGCGGUCGCCAGAUCGCGCGGAGCCGUAAGGUGAAAUACCGCUCUGUUCGCAUUGGAUGUCUAACCUCGAACAGUCAUCCUGUUCAGGGACAGUGC